UGGGGCGUGGCCAAGUGGUAAGGCAACGGGUUUUGGACCCGAUACGCGAAGGUUCGAAUCCUUUCGUCCCAG
rnacentral:tRNA from 9 species